rnacentral:rRNA from 1 species
AUGUUGCAGGCAGAUCAAGGCAGGUUGCGGACAGAAGAGAAAAGGUUGCAGAGAUUGCAGAAAUUUAAGAAACUGAAGGAUGAAGAGUCUGAUGACAGCGACCAGUUGGAUUCAGAUGCAGAUUUCUUUGAUAGUGACAAUGACCCAUUAGAUGGGGAUGAUGACAUCUUUGCUGCAUUUGUGGACCAUGAUGUCAUAGAUGCAAUGAUUACUAGCAAAGGCAAAAAAGUAGUUGAAGUAAAUGAGGAUGGUAAGGACAAGAGGAAGAAGAAGAAGAAGAAAAGUAAAAAGGAAGAUUCUGAUGAGGAGUUGCUUCUUCCAGAUUCAGAUGACGAGAACUUCAAUUUUAAGUUCAAGUCUUUUGCUGAACAUGACAUGGCAGACCCGGAGUUCAAGAUUGGAAUGACUUUUUCAACGGUUGAGCAGUUGAGAGAAGCAAUAUCUGAGUAUAGCAUAAAGAAUAGAGUGGCUUUGCACAAGACUAGAAAUUGUAGAACCAGGGUUGAGGUGGUCUGUGCUGAAGGUUGCCCCUGGUAUUUGUAUGUGACAGAAGACGGCAGGUCCAAGAGCUUGCUUGUGAAGAGAUAUGUUAAUGAGCACACAUGUAGCAGAGAGUGGGCUAUCAAGGCAAUGACUGCUCCCUAUCUUGCCAAAAAAUAUGUGGAAGAAAUAAGAGACAAUGAGAACAUUGAUGCAAAGUCAUUUGGCAAUAAGGUGCAAAAGGACUACAAUUUGGCUCCUGGCAGAAUGAAGCUGCAAAGGGCAAAGAAGAGAGCAAUGGCUAUUAUCAGAGGAGAUGAGGAGAAGCAAUAUAAUUUGCUUUGGGAUUAUGCGGAAGAGAUUAGGAGAUCAAACCCUGGGAGCAGUGUCUUUCUUAAUUUGGAUGCAAAUGGUUUGUUUGAAACUAUGUACUUUUCUCUUGAUGCAUGCAAGAGGGGCUUUCUGGAGGGUUCCAGGCCAAUUCUUUUCUUUGAUGGUUGUCACUUGAAGACAAGGCAUGGUGGUGUUAUGUUGACAACAAUAGGUAUUGACCCUAAUGAUUGUAUCUUCCCAAUUGCCAUGGCUGUGGUAGAUGUAGAGUGCAAAAACAGUUGGAAAUGGUUCAUGAACACUUUGAAGCAUGACCUGAACAUCCACGACCACACAGCAGCCUUUACUCUUAUGUCAGAUAAGCAGAAAGGGCUGAUACUUGCAGUGCAGGAAGAAUUUCCAGACAGUGAACAUAGGUUCUGUGUAAGACAUCUCUACCAAAACUUCAACACGAUUCACAAGGGGGAAGUUUUGAAGAAUCAACUUUGGGCUUGUGCAAGAUCUAGUAACAAGCCACAAUAUGAAAGAAACAUGGACAAAUUGAAGGCUCUGAGUCCUGAAGCAUAUGGAUGGCUUGAUAAGCACCCACCAAACCAAUGGUGUAGGGCUUUCUUUGAUUGUUUAUGUAAGAGUGACACACUCCUCAAUAAUCAUUGUGAAGUGUUCAACAAAUUCUUCUGCAACUUGUAUGUUAGCGUGAGAGGGACAGGGACAGGGAGAGCAAGAGUGAGAGGAGGAGCAACCGAUGGUACUGCUACCCAUGUUGAAGGAAGUAGUGCUACUGCUAGUAGUGUGCAACAAGGAGGAGGGACAAGUGUUGCCCACGCUGCACCAAGAGCAAGAAGAGCGAGAAAAACAAAAAGACCAGUGCCUGGAGGUGAUCAUUGGAAUGGUUAUGAGCACUCAAGAUAG